UCUUUCUCUUCCACCCUUCCCAAGAUUCAUUCAAUCUCUCUCUUCUCUACAAUUUCAACCUCCAACCAUCUUCUUCUUAAAUCUUCUCCAUUUUUAGUUUCCCUCUGUUUCGUCAUCAUCAAAUUUUUAGUUUCCCCUAUUCCGAUUUGGUUUUUGGAUCUUAAGGCACUGAUUAUGGGUCGGUUUUGGUUGUUGGUAUGGGCAUAGAGGGAAACAUAUUACCACAUUGAAACACAGAUCUCUCUCAUCUUAUUUUCAUUCCUCCUAUCACUCACCACAAGAUCUGAAUCGGUUUUAUCAGCCAAAGCUUCCUUCACUUCAAUCUCAGUUCUUUGCCAAUCACCAAGAUUGCAUUGACCAAAUUGCUUUAUGAUUUCAUCUAAGAUCCACCAUUGAUUUUUGGAUUCAAGCUUACUGUGUGAUAAUAAAGACCGCAGACGGAUUGAAGUUUUGAUUGAAGCUGGAUGUACCAAUCUUUCUUUUAAGGUUGAUUCUAGGCAAUAUUUGAAAAAUGGUUGCAUUUGCUUGCAUAUCAGAAACCAAAAAGAGGAUUAUUUUUUAAGGGAGAUUAUGUUCUGUCGGUGUCGGAUUUGCUCCAACCUGCAAUGCAACUGAGAUCUGUGUUAACCAAAUUCUAAAGGUUAUGAUAGCCAACAACCAAUUCUUAGGCAAUCUCUUUGGCAAAUAUAUAUCAGUUUGAGUUUACAGAUUUAUAGAGUAGAUUAAUCAUUGAGGCAUGGAGCAGCUGGUUGCAGUGUGCUGUUCCGGGAGUUCAGAGGAAGGAUCGCGUUGGGUUGUAGUCGGAGGUGAGAUGCAGCGUCGACAAAAUCUUCCGUUGUUUUCUUAUUUGCUCCAGUUUCUUCUCUUCUUUGUUUUUGUUUCAAAUCUGUUUGUUUGAAUUAAAUAACAAAGUUUAUGUUUUUCAUAAACUUUGCAGUUAACUGUUAUGUUGUUGUUCUCUUGCAUUGGUAGAAUGAUUUGGGACAAAUUUGUGAUACUUGCAAUGGUAUAUGAGAGUGUUGUUAACAGGUUGUGAAU